UACGUAGGGGGCAAGCGUUGUCCGGAAUCAUUGGGCGUAAAGAGCGCGUAGGCGGCCCUGUAAGUCCGCUGUGAAAGUCAAGGGCUCAACCCUUGGAUGCCGGUGGAUACUGCAGGGCUAGAGUCCGGAAGAGGCGAGUGGAAUUCCUGGUGUAGCGGUGAAAUGCGUAGAGAUUAGGAAGAACACCAGUGGCGAAGGCGACUUACUGGACUGUAACUGACGCUGAGGCAUGAAAGCGUGGGGAGCAAACAGG
rnacentral:rRNA from 1 species